CGUUAGGACGCUGUAUACCCUACCUGGGAGAAAAAUAACUAGUUUAUAUUAAUGAAGCAUUUAAAAGUAGGAUGUGUAUAGGUUUAUACUAUUGACAGUGCUUAAUUAUAAUAAUUAAUUUAUUUCAGUGCUUAACAAUAUUUUCGAAUAGCCACUGAAGAAACUGCUGUAUAACAAAAUAAAUGACAGAAAUCAUGUUGACUAUUCUUCUGAUCAUGGCGAUGAUUGGCCAAGGUCAGUCAUGGGACAGCUAUGGAAAAAACUUCAUCACAGUAUUCCCAGAAAACAUAGCCUUCUACUACCCACGUACUCCAGUCAAUACUCUCAGUAUCACUGCUCUCUAUCCUGACACCAAGGUGGAAGUCUUCGUCUCAGAGGUAUCGACAUACUCGGACACACUGCCAGCAGGAAAGCCCGUAACUGUGACCCUGCCACUGGAUACUGAGGAAUACCGUCUCGGUUCUACUUCUCAGACUGUCAGAGUCAGCAGCACGGAGCUCAUCGUGGUGCAAUCAAUCAGCAAGAAAGGAGACAGUGUGCAAACUAAUGUUGUUCAGCCUUUGAAAAAUCACGGUACGUUGUAUACCAUCCCCUCACUGAAUUACAGCCUGAUGCUUAAUACUUUUGAUCAGUCAGCAAGAAACGUCAGCAAGAGAUACAGCUCUUUCAGGCUGGUUAUUAUCAAUGGAGAAACUUUGAUUCAAGAUGUCACAAUUGUAAAACUGGCUAGAAAUGAGACCUACAUGCUCAAUCCCUACACCGCUCUCCAGCUCCAAACUGAUGGGACAGAAACCGCGGUUUAUUCUGAUGAUAGAGUGGCUGUGAUGCUGACCCAUCCUUGUGUAGUAACGGAAGAAUGCAGAUGCAACAUGGUGCUGAACCAACUUUAUCCCGACAGGCUGCAGGAUAGCAGAUUCAUCGUACCCUCAAUACUCAGCACCAGCAACUUUUGGCUACUUGUGACGUCCUCAGUGAAAACUGAAGUCAGUGGCGGGGAUCUAGAAUUGAGUACUGUGAAUGCCUAUUCCUCAAAACUCCUGGCCCUUCCAUCUCUGCAGUUUGAAUCCCAGUUGAUCGACACAUCUUCUCCUGCUUCACUCAAACUUGUCGGUCCAGGCAUCAUCGUUGAACCGAUCUCACAAUAUAUGUUCUCUGCGUGCUACCUAGCGCCUGUCAGCUCGACAGAUGCCAAGGCCUUAAUCAUAGCAGAGACAAACUACAGGGAUAGUGUGUAUAUGGAUGGUGAUUUGCUUUUAUCCACUACAUGGAGCACCAUCGCCAAUUCGGUGUACUCAUCGGUGUUAGUGCCUCUUGAUGACGCGCACAUCAUCUGGCAUCCAUCCACAAAGAUCGCCGUGUACGUGUUUGAGAAGAGCACACAUGUGUAUGGAGGCCCGGCUAUACCUUUAAGCGAAACGCCAGACCCUUUAGGCUGUGCAUUGGUUCCUUCUAAGUUUGACAUCAUCGUCACACCUCAAACCUGGCCUGAAUCCCAUCAGUACUGUAAGCUCAUAAGUGACGAGCUGUUCAGUCCCAGCAAUAAAGCGGCUCAUGCAGAGAUGGCCAGCAUCCUGAGGAAUGAGAGCAUGAAUGAGAGGUUCUGGAUCGGCGUGCGUCGCAGUCUGCUGACGUUAGACUGGUACCGGCAGAAGGCUGACAUCUCACACAACUUGUCAUACAUGCAGUGGGGAACCGGGGAGCCAGGUGUUGCUGCGAAUGGCAUGUGUGCUUCAGUAUUCCCAAACCCAAACAUGGAUUUCCAAUGGGAAACUACACACUGCUGUACUCUACUGAAGUCUAUCUGCUACACAAGGGCUCAGUACUUUUCUCUGUACUUUCCGAUCUCAGAUUAGGUCAAAUUAGACAGAUAGUAAUUCUAAUGUUCCAAAAAUAAUGUUUAACAAUAAAAACUGGCCAAAGAAAACA
ensembl:lncRNA